rnacentral:rRNA from 1 species
CCUACGGGAGGCAGCAGUGAGGAAUAUUGGUCAAUGGGCGGAAGCCUGAACCAGCCAAGUAGCGUGCAGGAUGACGGCCCUACGGGUUGUAAACUGCUUUUAUACGGGAAUAACGCGCCUUACGUGUAGGGCUUUGCAUGUACCGUAUGAAUAAGGACCGGCUAAUUCCGUGCCAGCAGCCGCGGUAAUACGGAAGGUCCGGGCGUUAUCCGGAUUUAUUGGGUUUAAGGGGAGCGUAGGCCGCAUGUCAAGCGUGCUGUGAAAUGUCCGGGCUCAACCCGGGCCUUGCAGCGCGAACUGGCGUACUUGAGUCCGCGGAAAGCAGGCGGAAUUCGUCGUGUAGCGGUGAAAUGCUUAGAUAUGACGAAGAACCCCGAUUGCGAAGGCAGCUUGCUGCAGCGGAACUGACGCUGAUGCUCGAAAGCGCGGGUAUCGAACAGGAUUAGAUACCCUUGUAGUC